rnacentral:rRNA from 1 species
UAGGGAAUCUUCCACAAUGGGCGCAGCCUGAUGGAGCAACACCGCGUGAGUGAAGAAGGGUUUCGGCUCGUAAAGCUCUGUUGUAAGAGAAGAACGUGUGUGAGAGUGGAAAGUUCACACAGUGACGGUAACUUACCAGAAAGGGACGGCUAACUACGUGCCAG